CGGACACCAGUACAGGACGGGGCUUCGCAGACAGCGAGCGGAGGGGCUUCCCCGAUUCAUAGGAAGGAAGGCGGUGUCGAAGCCGGGAGUUGCGCGGAGAAGGAGCGCUCAACACAGCCUCAGCGGUUCACUACGCAAGCGCGACCAACGGCUUCCCGGGAAGCAGCCAAAAACGCUUGGCCGCCUACCACGUCCGCGCGCUGGAGGGCGGAAGUGGAUGAAGAGACUGAGGCAUAGAGAAGUUAUUAGUAACUUGCCAAAAAUUACACAGCCAUUGAGUAAAACAGCUUGGAUUUUGA
rnacentral:lncRNA from 10 species